rnacentral:rRNA from 1 species
ACUCCUACGGGAGGCAGCAGUGGGGAAUAUUGGACAAUGGGGGAAACCCUGAUCCAGCCAUGCCGCGUGUGUGAAGAAGGCCUUCGGGUUGUAAAGCACUUUCAGUGGGGAGGAAAGGUUGAUGGUUAAUACCUAUCAGCUGUGACGUUACCCACAGAAGAAGCACCGGCUAACUCCGUGCCAGCAGCCGCGGUAAUACGGAGGGUGCAAGCGUUAAUCGGAAUUACUGGGCGUAAAGCGUGCGCAGGCGGUCUGUUAAGCGAGAUGUGAAACGCCCCGGGCUCAACCUGGGAACUGCAUUUCGAACUGGCAGACUAGAGUCUUGUAGAGGGGUUAGAAUUCCAGGUGUAGCGGUGAAAUGCGUAGAGAUCUGGGAGGAUACCGGUGGCGAAGGCGGCCCCCUGGACAAAGACUGACGCUCAGGCACGAAAGCGUGGGGAGCAAACAGGAUUAGAUACCCGUGGUAGGUCAGUC